rnacentral:rRNA from 1 species
UUUAUGGAGAGUUUGAUCCUGGCUCAGGAUGAACGCUGGCGGCGUGCCUAAUACAUGCAAGUCGAGCGAACAGACGAGGAGCUUGCUCCUCUGACGUUAGCGGCGGACGGGUGAGUAACACGUGGAUAACCUACCUAUAAGACUGGGAUAACUUCGGGAAACCGGAGCUAAUACCGGAUAAUAUAUUGAACCGCAUGGUUCAAUAGUGAAAGACGGUUUUGCUGUCACUUAUAGAUGGAUCCGCGCCGCAUUAGCUAGUUGGUAAGGUAACGGCUUACCAAGGCAACGAUGCGUAGCCGACCUGAGAGGGUGAUCGGCCACACUGGAACUGAGACACGGUCCAGACUCCUACGGGAGGCAGCAGUAGGGAAUCUUCCGCAAUGGGCGAAAGCCUGACGGAGCAACGCCGCGUGAGUGAUGAAGGUCUUCGGAUCGUAAAACUCUGUUAUUAGGGAAGAACAAAUGUGUAAGUAACUAUGCACGUCUUGACGGUACCUAAUCAGAAAGCCACGGCUAACUACGUGCCAGCAGCCGCGGUAAUACGUAGGUGGCAAGCGUUAUCCGGAAUUAUUGGGCGUAAAGCGCGCGUAGGCGGUUUUUUAAGUCUGAUGUGAAAG